AGGACUAACGCUGGCGGCGUGCCUAACACAUGCAAGUCGAGCGGGGUAGCAAUACCCAGCGGCAGACGGGUGAGUAACGCGUGGUCAACCUUCCGUUGAAUGGGGGAUAACUAGCCGAAAGGUUAGCUAAUACCGCAUACGAUCUUUUGAAGGCAUCUUUAAAAGAUGAAAGGAGCAAUUCGUUCAACGACGGGACCGCGUCCCAUUAGCUAGAUGGUGGGGUAAUGGCCUACCAUGGCAACGAUGGGUAGCUGGUUUGAGAGAGCGACCAGCCACACUGGGACUGAGAAACGGCCCAGACUCCUACGGGAGGCAGCAGUGAGGAAUUUUCCGCAAUGGGCGAAAGCCUGACGGAGCGACGCCGCGUGUGGGAAGAAGGCCUUCGGGUCGUAAACCACGUGUCGAAGGGGACGAUAAUGACGGUACCCUUGGAGGAAGCCCGGCUAACUACGUGCCAGCAGCCGC
rnacentral:rRNA from 1 species